UCACCAUCUUUAAUAUAUCCAACUAUGGCCGUACAAACAGUCAACCAAACUACCUAAUGAAUUGCACAGAACACAAAAGCCAUUUACAUUAAAACGUACACAAGCAAUUGACGGAACAAUUUGACAUAAUGUAAAAUAAAAAUACUGGUUGGAAUAAAUGGGUUUUCUCACCAAAGAGAAAGUACAGUCAGUUGAUAGUAUAGCGACGUCCAAGGGAGAUGUGUGAUUCGCUACACAAAAACCAGAACCUUUUGGUUUGUAUUCUGUAUUGUGGAAUGUAAUUACAGCUGAUAAAGAACGAGUCAUUAGGCGAAAAGUAAUUUUAAAAGAUAAAUCUGCACAAGGAUGUCGAAGAAAUUCGAAGGGGAUCAUCGCAACAAGACUGUUAGCAACAACUGCAACAUAAAC